rnacentral:misc_RNA from 1 species
AACGCACCUUGCGCUCCUUGGUAUUCCGAGGAGCAUGCCUGUUUGAGUGUCAUUAAAUUCUCAACCUCUUCCAUUUUAAUUAAUGGUUUAGGCUUGGAUGUGGGGGUUGCGGGCUUCUCAGAAGUCGGCUCUCCUUAAAUGCAUUAGCGGAACCUUUGUGGACCGUCUUUGGUGUGAUAAUUAUCUACGCCAUGGUCGUGAAGCAGUUUUACAUGGGGUUCAGCUUAUAACCGUCUAUUUACUUGGACAACUUUUGACAUUUUGACCUCAAAUCAGGUAGGACUACCCGCUGAACUUAA